rnacentral:rRNA from 1 species
AUUGAACGCUGGCGGCAGGCCUAACACAUGCAAGUCGAGCGGAUGAAGGGAGCUUGCUCCUGGAUUCAGCGGCGGACGGGUGAGUAAUGCCUAGGGAUCUGCCUGGUAGUGGGGGAUAACGUCCGGAAACGGGCGCUAAUACCGCAUACGUCCUGAGGGAGAAAGUGGGGGAUCUUCGGACCUCACGCUAUCAGAUGAGCCUAGGUCGGAUUAGCUAGUUGGUGUGGUAAAGGCCUACCAAGGCGACGAUCCGUAACUGGUCUGAGAGGAUGAUCGGUCACACUGGAACUGAGACACGGUCCAGACUCCUACGGGAGGCAGCAGUGGGGAAUAUUGGACAGUGGGCGAAAGCCUGAUCCAGCCAUGCCGCGUGUGUGAAGAAGGUCUUCGGAUUGUAAAGCACUUUAAGUUGGGAGGAAGGGCAGUAAGUUAAUACCUUGCUGUUUUGACGUUACCAACAGAAUAAGCACCGGCUAACUUCGUG